AACCCAUAGUGAGGGCACCUUCUCAAUAGAUCUUUGUAUCUCUCCUAUGUAUCAUAAAGUGUUUUUAGAUCCAGCUGCACAAAAGAAGAGAUAUCAUUCCUCAAUUU
rnacentral:snoRNA from 1 species